AGUCGAACGCCUCUUUCCUCCCGAGUGCUUGCACUCAAUUGGAAAGAGGAGUGGCGGACGGGUGAGUAACACGUGGGUAACCUACCCAUCAGAGGGGGAUAACACUUGGAAACAGGUGCUAAUACCGCAUAACAGUUUAUGUCGCAUGGCAUAAGAGUGAAAGGCGCUUUCGGGUGUCGCUGAUGGAUGGACCCGCGGUGCAUUAGCUAGUUGGUGAGGUAACGGCUCACCAAGGCCACGAUGCAUAGCCGACCUGAGAGGGUGAUCGGCCACACUGGGACUGAGACACGGCCCAGACUCCUACGGGAGGCAGCAGUAGGGAAUCUUCGGCAAUGGACGAAAGUCUGACCGAGCAACGCCGCGUGAGUGAAGAAGGUUUUCGGAUCGUAAAACUCUGUUGUUAGAGAAGAACAAGGACGUUAGUAACUGAACGUCCCCUGACGGUAUCUAACCAGAAAGCCACGGCUAACUACGUGCCAGCAGCCGCGGUAAUACGUAGGUGGCAAGCGUUGUCCGGAUUUAUUGGGCGUAAAGCGAGCGCAGGCGGUUUCUUAAGUCUGAUGUGAAAGCCCCCGGCUCAACCGGGGAGGGUCAUUGGAAACUGGGAGACUUGAGUGCAGAAGAGGAGAGUGGAAUUCCAUGUGUAGCGGUGAAAUGCGUAGAUAUAUGGAGGAACACCAGUGGCGAAGGCGGCUCUCUGGUCUGUAACUGACGCUGAGGCUCGAA
rnacentral:rRNA from 1 species